rnacentral:ncRNA from 2 species
UAUCGUAUGCGCGCGUUUGGUGCCCGCACAUGCGUUCGCGUGUGCAGUUAAACGGGAAACAGGCCGCGCUUUUUGCGCUCAACCUGUGCUGUCCCCGCAACGGUAAGCGACCUGCGACGCAAGCGCCGUUCCGGCCGCGUCGCGCAUGCGUUUUUGAUGCCACUGUCCUGAGGAUGCGCGUUCGCGCGAGUCCGUAAGCCGGGACGGGAAGGCAAAGCGCGUGAGGCCGCCAGCCCGGAUACCGGCCAGACGCGGAGGCGGCGU